ACGCACGCUGGCGGCGUGCUUCACACAUGCCAGUCGCACGGAAAGGCCCUGCUUUUGUGGGGUGCUCGAGUGGCGAACGGGUGAGUAACACGUGAGUAACCUGCCCUUGACUUUGGGAUAACUUCAGGAAACUGGGGCUAAUACCGGAUAGGAGCUCCUGCUGCAUGGUGGGGGUUGGAAAGUUUCGGCGGUUGGGGAUGGACUCGCGGCUUAUCAGCUUGUUGGUGGGGUAGUGGCUUACCAAGGCUCUGACGGGUAGCCGGCCUGAGAGGGUGACCGGCCACAUUGGGACUGAGAUACGGCCCAGACUCCUACGGGAGGCAGCAGUGGGGAAUAUUGCACAAUGGGCGGAAGCCUGAUGCAGCAACGCCGCGUGCGGGAUGACGGCCUUCGGGUUGUAAACCGCUUUCGCCUGUGACGAAGCGUGAGUGACGGUAAUGGGUAAAGAAGCACCGGCUAACUACGUG
rnacentral:rRNA from 1 species